rnacentral:tRNA from 1 species
GACCAUGGUCAGACUCUGUCGAGCACGUUCUGACUGCGAAUCAGGAGAUUGCAGGUUCGAGCCCUGCUGUGGUCA